GAUGAACGCUGGCGGCGUGCCUAAUACAUGCAAGUCGAGCGAACAGACGAUGAGCUUGCUCCUCUGACGUUAGCGGCGGACGGGUGAGUAACACGUGGAUCACCUACCUAUAAGUCUGGGAUAACUUCGGGAAACCGGAGCUUAUCCCGGAUAAUAUAUUGAACCGCAUGGUUCAAUAGUGAAAUACGGUUUUGCUGUCACUUAUAGCUGGAUCCGCGCCGCAUUAGCUAGUUGGUAAGGUAACGGCUUAUCAAGGCGACGAUGCGUAACCGACCUGAGAGGGUGAUCGGCGACACUGGAAGUGAGCCACGGUCCAGACUACUACGAGAGGCAGCAGUAGGGAAUCUUCCGCAAUAGGCGAAAGCUUGACGGAGCAACGCCGCGUGAGUGAUGAAGGUCUUCGGAUCGUAAAACUCUGUUAUUAGGGAAGAACAAAUGUGUAAGUAACUAUGCACGUCUUGACGGUACCUAAUCAGAAAGCCACGGCUAACUACGUG
rnacentral:rRNA from 1 species